rnacentral:sRNA from 1 species
AUACAACCGUGUAAGGAAAUCCUUUUGCAUUAGCAAAAGAUUGGAAGCGUAAAGCGCGAUCGCUU